rnacentral:rRNA from 1 species
UACGAACCGUGCGAACGUUGUUCGGAAUCACUGGGCUUAAAGGGCGCGUAGGCGGCUCGCGAGGUCGGGGGUGAAAUCCCGCAGCUUAACUGCGGAAGGGCCUCCGAUACCGGCGGGCUGGAGGAAGGUAGGGGUGCGCGGAACUUCUGGUGGAGCGGUGAAAUGCGUUGAUAUCAGAAGGAACGCCGGCGGCGAAAGCGGCGCACUGGACCUUUUCUGACGCUGAGGCGCGAAAGCUAGGGGAGCAAACGGG